AGUGAACGCUGGCGGUAGGCCUAACACAUGCAAGUCGAACGGCAGCACAGUAAGAGCUUGCUCUUACGGGUGGCGAGUGGCGGACGGGUGAGGAAUACAUCGGAAUCUACUUUUUCGUGGGGGAUAACGUAGGGAAACUUACGCUAAUACCGCAUACGACCUACGGGUGAAAGCAGGGGAUCUUCGGACCUUGCGCGAUUGAAUGAGCCGAUGUCGGAUUAGCUAGUUGGCGGGGUAAAGGCCCACCAAGGCGACGAUCCGUAGCUGGUCUGAGAGGAUGAUCAGCCAAACUGGAACUGAGACACGGUCCAGACUCCUACGGGAGGAAGAAGUGGGGAAUAUUGGACAAUGGGCGCAAGCCUGAUCCAGCCAUACCGCGUGGGUGAAGAAGGCCUUCGGGUUGUAAAGCCCUUUUGUUGGGAAAGAAAAGCAGCAGGUUAAUACCCCGCUGUUCUGACGGUACCAAAAGAAUAAGCACCGGCUAACUUCGU
rnacentral:rRNA from 1 species